CCGCCGGCUCCAGGUCAGGGCGAGCGAGCGGGGAUCAUACUGGAUUUUGUCACCAUUCACCCAUAAUUCUCUGUGUAGUCUAGGUGUGGCACGUACAUCAGGAAUAUCUGACCCCGCCACAGUGGAAGUACUGGCAGCUUCAUUUUCUCCAGGCUGUUUGCUUCCUGCUCCCUUGCCCUCUGGGCUGACACAUACUGAUCUCAGGAGCUCACCCUCACUGGAAAGACAGUCCUGAAACGUCCAGCCCUUUGGAGCUUUACCCCAGUCUGCGUUCUCAAGGGAAGGUCUUUUGAGAUCAAAAGAGUUCCCAUUUAACAUGGAGGACGAGUUCUUUGGAGAAGAAAGCUUCCAACAUUGUUGUGCAGAAUUCAUCAGACAUUCACAACAGAUAGGCGAUGGCUGGGAAUGGAGAACGGCCAAGGAAUGUUCUGAUGGCUACAUGUGCAAAACACAGUUUCAAAUAAAGAAAGAGACUCCAGCACCACAUCAGGGAACACCCGCCAGUGUGCACACGUGUCUCCCCACAGAGUGAAAGCAGCAAUUGUGGUGUAUGGUGAGAGUCUAGACAUCCUUCAUACCUUUCCUCGGCUCUGAAGGCCCACAGGACUUCCUGUCGUUUUGGUUUUUAUCCAGUGACAUCUCCACCGACACAGAUCUGACUCUGCCUACUCUGCCUUUGGCAGCUUUUCUAGUCAUUUGGAAAUGUGUAGACUCUGGGUCUCUCAUUCUUUAGGAAAAUCUGAUUGACUUGAGACAUUUACAAAAUUAAACGUUAUUAAAGCACUGA